GCCGGUGACAAACCGGAGGAAGUGGGGAUGACGUCAAGUCAUCAUGGCCCUUACGGCCUGGGCUACACACGUGCUACAAUGGUCGGUACAAAGGGUUGCCAAGCCGCGAGGUGGAGCUAAUCCCAUAAAACCGAUCGUAGUCCGGAUCGCAGUCUGCAACUCGACUGCGUGAAGUCGGAAUCGCUAGUAAUCGUGAAUCAGAAUGUCACGGUGAAUACGUUCCCGGGCCUU
rnacentral:rRNA from 1 species